rnacentral:rRNA from 1 species
ACAAAGGUUUGGUCCUAGCCUUAUUAUCAACUGUUUCUCAACUUACACAUGCAAGUCUCAGCACACCCGUGAAAACGCCCUUUUAUCCUUAACCAGGUCAAGGAGCCGGCAUCAGGCACAACCAUUUGCCCAUGACGCCUAGUCUUACCACGCCCCCAAGGGUCAUCAGCAGUGAUAAAUCUUGUGCAUAAGCGCCAGCUUGACCCAGUUAGAGAAAAGAGGGCCGGCUAACCUGGUGCCAGCCGCCGCGGCUACACCGUGGGGCCCAAGUUGAUAACCUCCGGCGUUAAGCGUGAUUAAAGUCCAUCCAAAUUAAAGUCAAAUUAACACUUAGUAGUUAUAAGCUUGUUGUUGAGAAGAACAUAAACGAAAGUUACUUUAAUUAUCCAACUUGAAUACACGACAGC